CGAAGGAAAAUCAGAAGAAGAAGCUGAGAGAGGGAUGCGAAGUAGGGAUUGUGAAAUUGGGAUUGUGAAAUUGGGAUUGAGAUUUGGGUGAAUAUAUGAUUGAAAAACCUAUGAAUUUUGCUGCGAACACAGAGUCGAUUUUUUCUAUCUCAAAAAUGGAGUACUACUGGUUUUUGGGUUUUGCCUCUUUAGUACUCUCUCUCUCUCUCUUGUCCGUUUUCCUGCACGUUGGGAUUUUUCUUUUUUUCCUUCUCAACUUUU
rnacentral:lncRNA from 1 species